UUCCCAUCAGCUUGUUGAGGGCAGAAGCUGUGUGAUUGGCUUCUUUAUGCAGUGGGAACCUGGCCCAGUGCCUUGUGUAUGGGAACCACUUGCCAUAUUUUAGCUGAGUGAACAAAUCUAUAAAUGACAAGUACUGAGAUUCUUUAUGGAGUGCACAUUGACUAGUCAUGGUCAAGAUCUCCUUUUGGAUUCAGGUGACAGCAGGAAGAGCAUGGUCUAAUAAACAGAGAAGGCUCAGGAGGGUCAGAAACACGGUGCCUCAUUUCUCAGCCUACUUGCCAAGAAUUCCCAAAAAGGAAGCACUGGAGGAUCAUUCCAAGGCUUGAGGUCCAGGACUACCCACUUCCCUUGGAAUGGUGUUGCCAUCACUGUUCUGGCACCGGAGGUAAGGAUUCUACAUCGUUAGGAGAAAAGAAAAAGGAGAAUUUGGGCUUGCACUGAGAGGAUUACCUUUGGUGGUCUGGAAGUGGUGGCUGCACAGGGAGCAUGGCUGGGAGGCCUCAGGAAACUGACAAUCAUCAGUAGAAGAUGAAGAGGAAGGAGGCGCAUCUUACAUGGCCAGAGAAGGAGGAAGAAUAAGAAGGGAUUCUCCAGCUGGAGCCCUAUAAAUUGGACUGACAAAAGACAGAUUAGCAAGAGAAAUGCAAGCAGCAGUUUAUUAACAUGUGCAUCAUGAUUACACAUGGAAGUACCCAGAGGUCAUAAGACCUCAUGUGACAAGUGCCCUCCUUACUCCCAGAGAAAAGGAAGGAAGACACAGAAACACCACGAAGAAUAUGGACAAACAGACCUUGCUAAGUUCCCCCCCAUUUAUUACCAUGACAUCAUACUCCCUUUGUCCAAUCACACUUUCAUCAAACCUGAGCAUGAAAAUACACAGGUUUCUCUGUUUGGGGGGUGGGUCUUCAUUUUUGAAGUUUCCAUGUCAUGUAAAACUUAUAUUAAAGAAAUGUGUAUGUUUUACCCUUGUUAAUUU
rnacentral:lncRNA from 1 species